AACGAACGCUGGCGGCAUGCUUAACACGUGCAAGUCGAACGGACUUAUGGGGCUUGCUCCAUAAGUUAGUGGCAGACGGGUGAGUAACGCGUGGGAAUGUACCUUUUGGUUCGGAAUAACUUUGGGAAACUGAAGCUAAUACCGGAUAAGCCCGUGAGGGGAAAGAUUUAUCGCCGAAAGAGCAGCCCGCGUUAGAUUAGGUAGUUGGUGGGGUAAUGGCCCACCAAGCCGACGACCUAUAGCUGGUCUGAGAGGAUGAUCAGCCACACUGGGAAUGAGACACGGCCCAGACUCCUACGGGAGGCAGCAGUGGGGAAUAUUGGACAAUGGGGGAAACCCUGAUCCAGCAAUGCCGCGUGAGUGAUGAAGGCCUUCGGGUUGUAAAGCUCUUUUGUCAGGGACGAUGAUGACGGUACCUGACGAAUAAGCUCCGGCUAACUUCGUGCCAGCAGCCGCGGUAA
rnacentral:rRNA from 1 species